rnacentral:rRNA from 1 species
CCUACGGGUGGCUGCAGUGGGGAAUAUUGGGCAAUGGACGAAACUCUGACCCAGCAACGCCGCGUGAAUGAUGAAGGUCUUCGGAUUGUAAAGUUCUUUUCUUAGGGAAGAAGAUAGUGACGGUUCCUUAUGCCUAAGUUUCCGUUAACUACGUGCAAGCAGCCGCGGUACUACGUAGGGGGCGCGCGUUAUCCGGAAUGACUGGGCGCAAAGGGUGCGUAGGUGGUUUGGAAAGUUAGGGUGGUAACUCCUAGGCUCAACCGUGGAACUACUACUAAAACUGUUGGACUGGAGUGCAGGAGGGGCAAGCGGAAUUCCUGGUGUAGCGGUGAAAUGCGUAGAUAUUAGGAGGAACACCAGUGGCGAAGGCGGGUUGCUAGACUGUAACUGACGCUGAGGCACGAAAGCGUGGGGAGCAAACAGGAUUAGAUACCCCUGUAGUC